rnacentral:rRNA from 1 species
UGCUUGCACCUGAUUGAUUUUGGUCGCCAACGAGUGGCGGACGGGUGAGUAACACGUAGGUAACCUGCCCAGAAGCGGGGGACAACAUUUGGAAACAGAUGCUAAUACCGCAUAACAACGUUGUUCGCAUGAACAACGCUUAAAAGAUGGCUUCUCGCUAUCACUUCUGGAUGGACCUGCGGUGCAUUAGCUUGUUGGUGGGGUAAUGGCCUACCAAGGCGAUGAUGCAUAGCCGAGUUGAGAGACUGAUCGGCCACAAUGGGACUGAGACACGGCCCAUACUCCUACGGGAGGCAGCAGUAGGGAAUCUUCCACAAUGGGCGCAAGCCUGAUGGAGCAACACCGCGUGAGUGAAGAAGGGUUUCGGCUCGUAAAGCUCUGUUGUUAAAGAAGAACACGUAUGAGAGUAACUGUUCAUACGUUGACGGUAUUUAACCAGAAAGUCACGGCUAACUACGUGCCAGCAGCCGCGGUAAUACGUAGGUGGCAAGCGUUAUCCGGAUUUAUUGGGCGUAAAGAGUAGUGCAGGCGGUUUUCUAAGUCUGAUGUGAAAGCCUUCGGCUUAACCGGAGAAGUGCAUCGGAAACUGGAUAACUUGAGUGCAGAAGAGGGUAGUGGAACUCCAUGUGUAGCGGUGGAAUGCGUAGAUAUAUGGAAGAACACCAGUGGCGAAGGCGGCUACCUGGUCUGCAACUGACGCUGAGACUCGAAAGCAUGGGUAGCGAACAGGAUUAGAUACCCUGGUAGUCCAUGCCGUAAAC